UUCCCCUUUUCUCCCAGUGCUCUUUUCAGCUGAGAUGACCGACAGAGCUAUUGAAACCGGCAGCACUGUGAGCCUGUGUGAGGGGCAGGAUGCAGCACUGUAUCUCAGCUCCAGACCGCUGUCAAAAUUGGAAGGGUAACUGGACCCAAAAGGAAGUAGUGGGAUAUCAGUGUGUAGGCUUCUGCACAUCCCUCCAGGCUCCCUCCAGGCUCUCGCACCAUUUUCAGAAUGAGCUGUCACUCUGAGACAGCUUUUCUCAGCAAGUAGUAGGAGGCUAUGAGCCAUGUCUGGCUUUCAGGCACCCAGUGCAAGCAGCAGAUUCCAUGAUGUGUGUGUGUGUGUUGUGUGUGUGCGUGAUUGCUGCUGUCGGGAGGUAGGCUUUAUAUGUAAGCAAACAACAUGAGAGGAGAGCCUUAGGGAUGGCUCAGGUAUGUUAAAGCAGUGUAUGCACAGCAGCAGCAUCGUGAUUGCCCCUUGCACAACCAGGAAGCUACUGCACUAAGAAUGUCCUAAAGUUUGCUUUAUGUUUUGAAGAGCUGCAGCAGAACUGUGAUGGAGUUUCUCCUGCUUCUCAUUUCUCUGCAGAUAGUUUGCAGAAAAUUCUCCGUAGAACAGAACACAGACUUUAUGACCAGCAUUGUGAAGACCUUCCAGCAAGCCAAAGGAAUGUGUGUGUGUGCUGCUGAGAAGUGGAUGAUCAUCUUUCUGCAUCCUCAGUGCCAUCUCAAAAGUGGUGUCUGUGCAGUCCAGGUAGGUGAUGCUGAGCUUGCUUCUUCAACUCCUUCCAGGCCUCUUAGCACAGGUCAGCAAGGCACUGAGGGAGGAGGUGCUGCUUUUCCCCCUUGCAGAGAGCUCUCCUACAAGGACCAGGAGUAAGAAGACCAGCUGUGCAAGGUAAGGGCAGGUGCGCAGUCUGAGCUCACAAGUCCAGAAUGUUUGUUUGCUGGUCUGUGCUUUUCACUGCAACCUGCCAUCGAGUCCCUUACAAAGCUUUAAAAACAAGUCUGUCAAGUUAUGAUACAUAGAGCCUUCCCCUGCAGCUCCCUGAGCAUGUCCCAGCUGUAGGUCAGGGCUGGAAGCCAGGGCUGAGGAACAGUGCUCCAAUGUUUGCCUCUUUUCCCUGUACUUAAGAUGACAUCCUGGAAAAAGCAGUUGAAGCAGCAGUAAGUGAGGCUUCUCGUGGUUAGAUUAAGGUGAAACUGACACUCAAGUUCCAAACACAAUUAUCUCUGUACUACAAUUACCUUAAAAGCAUUGAUACUCUUACAAUUUUGUCUGUCUAAGCUGUGCUGCUAAACAAUGCAUCUUUACAAGAACUCUAAAUAAGUAAGUCUUUAAUUACAUAACAACUAAGAGAGAGAAAAGGAAAGAAAAGAGGAAGAUGGGGCUUGAACGCUUCAAGACCACGGUGAUGUGAAUAGAGCAGAUAAAGAGGAGAAAGAAUUAGAAGAGAGGUAGGAAAAGAGAAAGAGAGUAAGAGCGAAAAAGGAUGAGGAGAAAGGAAAGGUUAAAAAAAAGAGAUUGUAUUCUGGAAGUCAUAUCUCUUAUGACUAUACUAAUCACUGUAAAUAGGAAAAUACAUAAAAUCAUUAUUUCAGUAUUUACAAACCAUUUCCCCCCACCCUAUGAGUCUUAAAAAGCUUACUAAGGAAUCAGUCCAGGAUUCAGGAGAUAAGUCUGACAGUUGCAUUGCUGGAAACAACUUCUCAGUCUUUCUGUGAUUUCUCAUCUUAGUGCAGGCGUAUACAUCAUGGCUUAAACAUCACAUAAUUAACUUCAAUUGUGUUGAUUUGUACGUAAUACAUGGAAAAUGAAGAAGAAAAAGAACAAACAAGCACUCUUUCAGAGAAGAAAUUUUUCCCAGUGUUCAAAUUUA
rnacentral:lncRNA from 1 species